GAAGUGCCUGAUUAAAAAGGAUUACUGUGAUAGAGUAAAUCAUGUAAUUUAUUACCUUCAUUA
rnacentral:tRNA from 1 species